rnacentral:lncRNA from 1 species
UGCACACAAAAUGCAGGUUGAAAGGUACAAGAACAUGGGGGAGGCAGCAGAGUCUUAAGGCAAGUGUGAGGCUCUUCCAAAUCCAGGGCCUCAAGAGCCACACAGACUCACCCAUGAAGCUGGCCCUCCAUCAAUGCUAUCAAAACUCAUGCCAUCCAUUUAAAAAUGAUACCAGUUUCCAUGGUCUCCCUUAUCUUCGUUGUCUGAAAUUUGUAAGAACCUUCAAAUAACCGCUGAAAUUCAUCGUACUGUGGGGUUCACAAGUUGAGGAAUAU